UACGUAGGGGGCAAGCGUUGUCCGGAAUCAUUGGGCGUAAAGAGCGUGUAGGCGGUUCGGUAAGUCCGCUGUAAAAAGUCCAGGGCUCAACCCUGGAAAGCCGGUGGAAACUGUCGAACUAGAGUCCGGAAGAGGCGAGUGGAAUUCCUGGUGUAGCGGUGAAAUGCGCAGAUAUCAGGAGGAACACCAAUGGCGAAGGCAGCUCGCUGGGACGGUACUGACGCUGAGACGCGAAAGCGUGGGGAGCAAACAGG
rnacentral:rRNA from 1 species